ACAGGGCAGUUUUUUACAUAUAACUCAGAACUUCAAAGAAAUGAGUGAUGUUGCUAUAAGAAAACUCCUUCCAUGGCCAUCUGCUUAUUUAUAUAAAGAACGUUCCUCAGCACUAUUUUUAAAAACAAAAAAGAAUAAAAUUGAUGCUAUAAAUUAUACUCAGCCCUAAAAACUGAACUUGCUUAAAAACUAAAGCAGCUCUUUUCAUCUUACUAAGAGAUACAUUUCCAAUAAAAUUUCACUUUUAUGUUUAAUGAUUAUAGGUGGUCAAACCAUUAGAGUGAUAACACCGUCAAAAGUUGUUUUUUUUUACCCUUAGAGAAUAACAGUCACAGGAAAUCUUCUAAAAUUUAAAUUUGUUCCCAUACUUUUAUUGCCUUGAAGUAUGAUAGAAUGAUUUUUAAAAAAAGACUUUCAAGCAUACAGAUAGAUUACAUCAAGAGUAAAAUUCUUUGGGGGAAGCAGAAUGAAAUGAGCUGAAAUUGAAAAGGGAACAAUGUAAAAUUUCCUUGUGUUAAACACUAUUUUUUUGAUAUAUUUUUUAAACGACGAUGGCAGGUAUAAAAUGGCUGUGAUAUUUGGAUACAUUUUAAAGAAUAAUAUAACAAGGCUUCAAAAGUGUCCAUAUUUAUUAUGAUGGAAAUUACAUCUUUUGUUGAAGAAACAUUUUAAAUAACGUAAAACUGCAUAAGGGAGAAAGUUCUUCGAAUUCUUUAAGCAAAACACAGACAAAUAAUUCGAACCAUUGCCUUAGGGACCAUCUGAUCCAGCUCUCUUUACUUUGCAGAUGAAAAACUUGUCCAUCAAAGUGAAGUAACUUCCUCAAGGUCAAGUGACAAAUAAGACCAGAUCCUGGUCUCCUGCCUCCUGGUCCAGGCAGCCAGAUCUAAUCCAGGCAGCCUGCCUGGUAGGGGUGAGUUUUCUGUGGUCCUUGCAGGAACCCCUGAGUCGUAAGGGGCAAAGGAAAUCAGCCCCAUCCCAGUGUUGUGCGUUCCACCAGCCCCUCGGGAAUGGAGAUACAACCUAAGCAACGAAGUACCCUCUUCCCACAUCCUCAAGGGAUGUGUGCAACCUUUUGAUGUCUUCUUAAGACCGUCCUUCAUUGUCUUUCCCAUCUUUUUCACCUCUAAUUUCUGUGAAUCUCUUGCUUUCAGUUUGCUCAUCAGGCACAUCUGCCAGGAACCAGCCUCAUCCCCACUGCCUGCGACACCAGCAAGUGCUUGGCUGGGCUCAGGGAGUGGGCGAACAGGGCUGCAGGAGAGACAAAGUCGGUGCCUUCUUCACUUUGCUGUGACGGCGCUGCUUUUUCCCUUUUCUCACCCUAGAGCUGCUCAAAUUCUCUCAGCUACAGGUAUUUCUGGAACACUUACUGAGUACCCUGCACUGAGCUAAAGCUAGACUUUUCUCAGAAUGAACUGAGAGUCUGUGAGGGGAUGCAGAUACCAAAAGGCAGUCACGACAGCGUAAUAAGGUGAAACGAGGUGGAUUCAGGUGCUACCUGCGCCCAGGAGAGGUCGUGCUCCGUGCAGGCUGGGUGGAGGACGGGCUGCUUUUACGGAAACUGUCAUCUAAGGUGACACCUGAAACAUAAGGAUCUGUGGCACUGCAACUAUGGGAAAAUGUUAUAAAUCCAAGCUUAGGCCUUACGACAGACCUAACAGGCAUGGAAAUUUAAGUUUGCUCGUAUAUAAUUUCUUUCUAAAGCAAAGAAAGAAGUCACUCAUACUCGUUGCUAAGACUUCUGAUUUUUACCAAUUAUCUUGAGGCUGAAACCCUUUCUGUUGUUUCGCUUUCCACACGACCACCUAAAAAGGUCCCAGUCCACUCAUGUGCUUUGCUCCACUGCUUUCUGACCCGUUAUGCAGGGUUGCCUCAAAAUAUUUCUUGGGAAUUCAGGGAGAGUUCACGAUGGGGAAGGCUGGCGACUGCGUCUCAGAACUCGCUCUCAGCAAGCCCUCCAAAGUGACUCUCCACCGAAAUUUCUUCUUCCCCUCAUCCCCGGCAAGAGUUGUAGCCAGAACAUGCUGUCCAGCCUGGGACUACGUUUCUCAGCCUCCCUUGAGCCACUUGAGGUUAUGUGUCUACACCUUCACCAAUGGAACUUGAGCAAGAGGGUGCCACACUCAAGCUGGAGCCCACUGCCUCCAUGAUCUUUUCCUAUUCCCUUUUGGUCUUGUUGGUGAAAACAUGUAAUGGUCUUAAAAUCCAUGAGUUGCUAUCAGACUUGGUGCCUAAGCCACGCAUCAACCCAGAGCCCUUGUCUGGAUGGCUUCACGACAGAGAAAGAAACAGCUUGUUCCUCAGCUCACCACAUUUUAGAGAUCUUUAUUAGAAAGCUUACGUUGCCCUAGCAAACUUGGCCACAACGCUCCAAGGGUUACUCUGAGGAUCAAAAUUCAUUUUCACCACAGUCCCUCAGUGUGAAGAGAAGACUUUAACAAAAAGUCAGGUACACCGUUCUGCCUGCCCUUCACGUGUGCAGAGGUUUUGGCUGCUCCCAGCCAAGUCGCUGCACUUGGUUACCCCAUGAGUCCAACUGCUGGCCACAGGAGCUCCACGUGUACUGGGCCAAGAAAGCAGGCAGUCAGAGCUGCCAGAGCCGGUGGAGACAUCUCUCUGUUCUGGCACGUGAAUCUCCCUACUCUGGUAUGUGACCUCUCUAACAACUUGUCACACAUUUCUAAGACUCCAGACAUUUUUUUUUCAAACUUUGUCUUAAAUAGUGGCUUUUAAACUUUUAAAUUAAAAAAUUAAACCCACAGUAAAAUAUAAAUUUAACAUUGACCUGUACACACACUAACACACACACAUACACACACACAAUAUAAGCAAAAAUAUUUCGUGAGAAACAUGUAAUAUUUACCCUUACCCUGUGUGUUGCACUCUGAUACAUCCUAUUCAAUUUUAUUUCAUUUUUGAAAAAUUGCGAGACAUAAAUGACUACCUUGUUUUCACGACAGGUCGUGACCUACAGUUUGGGGAGCACAUUGUCCAACUGUUCUAAGCACUGCCCCGAGCACAUCAUCCCCUUAGACUGGGGCUCCAACCCAUCAAAUGCUUCGAAAGCCCUCGGUUUCAGGACCCCAGCCCAGGAAACAGGUGGCCCAGGCUCUGCUCCACGUCCCCGGCUGUCAGGAGCUCACUGCCUGCUGCUUUAACUGACUGAGAUAUUAAAGAGUUCUUCAACGUUCCCAGUAGAAAUAACCAUGCUGCCACGUGCAUCCUCCAUGCUGGUCCUGCCCUUGGAAGCCAGGAAAAACCCUAUGGUCAUGUUUGGUUUUCAAGAGAGGAAAGAGUUGUUGACUCCAUCCAGAUGGGGACUGCGAGGGACUGGUCUGCCCUGGAGCCGGGGAAGGCUUCCAGUGGGUGCAGAGAACCAGAGCAGGAGCCUCUGAUAGACUUGCGAUGAUGCAUGUCCACUGGGAGCUCAGGAAGCAUAAAAGGAGCAUGUGCAGGUUUCUCCUGCAAAAGCCCGGGUCAGAGGCACAUCUCCAGCAGGACUGGCAUUCAGAAGGGCUACUUUGGGGAGACAGCUUCUUAAAAAAGGAGCAAUUUACGAUCUCAACAUUUUUGGAGAGAACGUGUUUUAUUCAUUCCCUGCCACAACCCACCUGUUGCAUAUGGCGCUGUGGGCAGCGCAGGAGUUACAGACUUACAGUUACUGGUUGUUCUUCAGACAGGCUGUGCCUUGUCUGGGGGAGGCGCGGAGAGAUGUUUCCUCAAACAGCCAAGAGCAAGAAGGCUAGAGGGAGUGCAUCCGUCAUGCUGGGGGUGCACCAAGGGUCAAGCGUAGGCAAACACAAUUCUGUGCACUCAAUGUGGCAUAUGGAACAUGUACAGAGAACCCGCCAGGAUGGCCGCCAAAAUGGAUGGAAAAUGGGAGAACGGAGAGGAGACGAUGGGGAGAGGCCAGGACAAUUUCCUGCACCAAUUGUCCUGGGUAAUCAGGACAGUCUCCCUGAGCAGACUGCUGUCCCGGCUUAUGUUUUAUUGCUUGGCCAGUGCACGGCAAGUCUGCUAGGUUUACAUUAAGGCGCAACACUCAGGAAAACAGCUGCCUUCAAAACAGUGAUUUUUGCUUUCUGGAGCUGCCCUAUCCUUUAGCAGUCUCACCUUCACUCUGCCGUCAAGAAGAUCUGCCUUUUGAAUGUACAAGUCAGAGUAAAACUGUGUCAAAGUUUUUAAACCUAUAACGUUUAACCACACUGUGGAUUCACAAUGGCGAAAAGCCUCAAUCGUCUUCCAAACUGGAAAGUUUAAAGAUACUUAGCACAAAGUUGGAUCAUGGAUCCACUUUUGAAAAAGAAACUUUCCAUUUCAGCUAGAAGAGCAUCACUUUAAGUAGGAGCACUGCCUG
ensembl:lncRNA